rnacentral:rRNA from 1 species
GAUGAACGCUGGCGGCGUGCCUAAUACAUGCAAGUCGAGCGAACGGACGAGAAGCUUGCUUCUCUGAUGUUAGCGUCGGACGGGUGAGUAACACGUGUAUAACCUACCUAUAAGACUGGGAUAACUUCGGGAAACCGUAGCUAAUACCGGAAAAUAUUCUGAACCGCAUGGUUCAAAAGUGAAAGACGUUCUUGCUGUCACUUAUAGAUGGAUCCGCGCUGCAUUAGCUAGUUGGUAAGGUAACGGCUUACCAAGGCAACGAUGCAUAGCCGACCUGAGAGGGUGAUCGGCCACACUGGAACUGAGACACGGUCCAGACUCCUACGGGAGGCAGCAGUAGGGAAUCUUCCGCAAUGGGCGAAAGCCUGACGGAGCAACGCCGCGUGAGUGAUGAAGGUCUUCGGAUCGUAAAACUCUGUUAUUCGGGAAGAACAUAUGUGUAAGUAACUGUGCACAUCUUGACGGUACCUAAUCAGAAAGCCACGGCUAACUACGUG